AGGUGGGGCCUUUGGGAGGGAGUUAGGUCACGAGGGUGGAACCCCCAUGACGGGAUUAGGGACUUUCCAAGAGAGAUCUGACCCCCCCUUGCCCUGCGAGGACACAGCGAGAAGACAGCUGGCCGUGAACCACGCAGGCUCUUGCCAGACACCAGAUCUGCCAGCGCCCUGAUCUUGCGCUUUCCCGCCCCCAGAACCCUUGGGAGCGGUCUCACUUGCCCACGUGACUUGUACCUAACGUUUGCUUUGAUGUCACGGGGACACAGAGGUGCUGACGGAACGGAACCAGUUGUAUCAUGGACACGGUUUGGGCUCUUCGCUUGGAGACCCUGAACUAGACCACCUCAUCCUCACACCCUGUAGGGUUUAGUGACGGGUGAUUGCUACAGAGAGCAUUUUCCUGAUCUUGCCUGUGCCCUGUUGGCCGCCUGGUGAUGGGUUCACUUUCCCAGGGAGUUGGUCCUACCCCUGGGGUGUGGGAGAAACAGCUGGUCUCCAGGGGCCACUUGUCACAAAGGAAGUGGAAGCCAGCCCCUCUGUCCCCUUCGCUUCCAUCCCUCGGGUUGUAGUCCUUUUAUAACCAUGGACCGGCUCCUCGUGAGGUUCUGUCCCCCCAGUUCGGCGGCCGCAGAUAGACGGUCACAGACCAAGAUUCCCGCACGCUCUGUGUGUCUGUUUCACACCCACCCCUGCGGGACCGGCCACGUCCGCGCCUCGACAGCUCCCUCCCCGCAACCUGCCCACCUUAGGCGAAAAGAAAGACCGGACGAGGUUGGUUAUGUUUUGCCUUAAAACUUCAAUAUGCUGGAUUGUGGCGUGAGGUAUUUUUAUUCCCUUUUGUUAGUACUUAAAACCAUCUGGUACAUGUCGUAAGGCAAAUGAUUAACACGUCUUGGGCUACUGGUCCAUUUGCACAUCGCUGUUGCCACGCACACCAGUCACGGCUCCCCCGCAUCGGGUCGUCCUGUGUUUCUUAGGUAAGGGGCUUUCCCAGCUGUGGUGCGGGCACUGGGAGAUACUGGUUGGAUCGGUUGCCCCCUCUGGACUGUGUCAGAAAGGGUUUAACUAGGGGAUAGCAGCCCCCUGUCCUCCAUGGAGACCAGGCACACGGACUCUGCCUCGUGGGCGCCAGCCGUGUCCCCUGUGCGGUCUGUCGAGGAUGCGCAGUGUCCUACUGGUGAUACCCCAUGCGGGCGGGGGGGGGGGAGGGGGCAGUGAGUAUAAAAAGGAGGAAAGAAUGUUUUCUGAAGACAGACA